rnacentral:RNase_P_RNA from 1 species
GGAGUGGGCCAGGCGAUCGCUGUGCGGGGUAACCCGCGUGGAGGAAAGUCCGGGCUCCAUAGGACACGGUGGUGGGUAACGCCCACCAUCCGCAAGGGUCGGGAAAGUGCCACAGAAAACAAACCGCCACGCAGCUUCGCAAGGAGCUUUGUGGUAAGGGUGAAAAGGUGCGGUAAGAGCGCACCGCGGUUCUGGUGACAGAACUGGCAGGGCAAACCCCACCGGGAGCAAGACCAAGCAGGGCGAAGACCGGAUGGAGCCUGGGGAUUGGCACGUCGAGCAAACUCGACGGCGAACAGUCCCCAGGCUCCAUCCGGUCACGGAGCGGUCCGUUCCGUUUGACGUCCGGGUCGGUCGCAUCGAGCUGUGCGGGUAACCCGCAGCCCAGAGAAAUGAUCGCCCACGACAGAACCCGGCUUACCGGCCCGCUCCGAAU